rnacentral:lncRNA from 1 species
AAAGUUGUUUGUCAUCAACAAGUGUAUAACUGGCAUAGAAAAUUUAAAAGUGGCAUUACAAGAGUGGCUGAUACAGCUUGCUCUAGUUACUUACAAAUGACAAUUAAGCCUUACAUUGUUGCUGCAGUGGAACGAAUAUUGUGAGAAGACAGAUGAAUGACAGUCAACAAGGUAGCUAAAAUAGUGUUGAUUAGUCAUGGUUCAACUCAUCAAAUCAUUAGUGAAGUGUUGCAGUACAGUAAAAUCUCUGCUAGACGGGUUGCAUCAAAAAGAUCACAAAUCUCAAGUUUCAAUGUCUCCCACAUCCCCCGUACUUGCCUGACCCUGCACCAUUUGAUUAUCAUAAGGAAGCUCUUAAGGACUUAAGCACUUAAGGAAGCUCUUGGAAGCAAGAAAUUUUUCAUGGAUGAUGAGAUGAAAACAACAAUGCAUGCAUAGUUGUGCAGUUAAUCAAAAGGACUUUUUUCACAAAAUCAAAGCACUAGUAGAGCAUUGGCACACAUGUAUUGAAUAAGAAGAGGACUAUAUUGAAA